GAAGCCUGAUGCACCGACGCCGCGUGAGGGACGAAGGCCUUCGGGUUGUAAACCUCUUUCAGUAGGGAAGAAGCGAAAGUGACGGUACCUGCAGAAAAAGCGCCGGCUAACUACGUGCCAGCAGCCGCGGUAAUACGUAGGGCGCAAGCGUUAUCCGGAAUUAUUGGGCGUAAAGAGCUCGUAGGCGGUUUGUCGCGUCUGCUGUGAAAGCCCGGGGCUCAACCCCGGGUCUGCGGUGGGUACGGGCAGACUAGAGUGCAGUAGGGGAGACUGGAAUUCCUGGUGUAGCGGUGAAAUGCGCAGAUAUCAGGAGGAACACCGAUGGCGAAGGCAGGUCUCUGGGCUGUAACUGACGCUGAGGAGCGAAAGCAUGGGGAGCGAACAGGAUUAGAUACCCUGGUAGUCCAUGCCGUAAACGUUGGGCACUAGAUGUGGGGGACAUUCCACGUUUUCCGCGUCGUAGCUAACGCAUUAAGUGCCCCGCCUGGGGAGUACGGCCGCAAGGCUAAAACUCAAAUGAAUUGACGG
rnacentral:rRNA from 1 species